CGGGAUUUAGCUCAGCUUGGUAGAGCAAGUGCUUUGGGAGCACGAGGUCAGAAGUUCGAAUCUUCUAAUCCCGA
rnacentral:tRNA from 2 species